rnacentral:snoRNA from 1 species
AAGACUAUACUUUCAGGGAUCAUUUCUAUAGUUCUUUACUAGAGAAGUUUCUCUGAAUGUGUAGAGCACCCGAAACCAUGAGGAGGAAAUGCAGCAUCCUCUCCUGAGCUUGAAGCUGGCUCUUGGUGUUGCUUAGGUAACUGCCACUUGCCAUUGAUGAUUGCUCUUCUCUCUCUUGGGAAAGAAGAGGGAGAGGAUGCAUUCUGAGUGGU